GACAGAGGGUGCAAACGUUGUUCGGAAUUACUGGGCGUAAAGCGCGUGUAGGCUGCCCCGCAAGUCAGGUGUGAAAGCCCUGGGCUCAACCUAGGAAGUGCACUUGAAACUGCGGGGAUCGAGGGCUGGAGAGGGAAGCGGAAUUCUCGGUGUAGAGGUGAAAUUCGUAGAUAUCGGGAGGAACACCAGUGGCGAAGGCGGCGACCUGGGCAGAUACUGACGCUGAGGUGCGAAAGCGUGGGGAGCAAACAGG
rnacentral:rRNA from 1 species